rnacentral:tRNA from 1 species
AUAAUUAUAGUUUAAAAAACAUUUCUUUUACAAAGAAAAAUUAAAUUAAUAAUA